rnacentral:rRNA from 1 species
UACGGAGGGUGCGAGCGUUGUCCGGAAUCACUGGGCGUAAAGGGCGCGUAGGCGGCUCAUGAAGGCUGUGGUGAAAGUCCGGGGCUCAACCUCGGAUCGGCCGUGGCGACUCGUGGGCUGGAGCACUGUAGAGGCGGGUGGAAUUCCGGGUGUAGCGGUGGAAUGCGUAGAGAUCGGGAGGAACAUCAGUGGCGAAGGCGGCCAUCUGGAUCAACACUGACGCUGAGGCACGAAAGCGUGGGGAGCAAACAGG